rnacentral:rRNA from 1 species
AAUAAGGAUCGGCUAACUCCGUGCCAGCAGCCGCGGUAAUACGGAGGAUCCGAGCGUUAUCCGGAUUUAUUGGGUUUAAAGGGAGCGUAGGUGGACAGUUAAGUCAGUUGUGAAAGUUUGCGGCUCAACCGUAAAAUUGCAGUUGAUACUGGCUGUCUUGAGUACAGUAGAGGUGGGCGGAAUUCGUGGUGUAGCGGUGAAAUGCUUAGAUAUCACGAAGAACUCCGAUUGCGAAGGCAGCUCACUGGACUGCAACUGACACUGAUGCUCGAAAGUGUGGGUAUCAAACAGGAUUAGAUACCCUGGUAGUCCACACAGUAAACGAUGAAUACUCGCUGUUUGCGAUAUACAGUAAGCGGCCAAGCGAAAGCAUUAAGUAUUCCACCUGGGGAGUACGCCGGCAACGGUGAAACUCAAAGGAAUUGACGGGGGCCCGCACAAGCGGAGGAACAUGUGGUUUAAUUCGAUGAUACGCGAGGAACCUUACCCGGGCUUAAAUUGCAUUUGAAUAUAUUGGAAACAGUAUAGUCGUAAGACAAAUGUGAAGGUGCUGCAUGGUUGUCGUCAGCUCGUGCCGUGAGGUGUCGGCUUAAGUGCCAUAACGAGCGCAACCCUUAUCUUUAGUUACUAACAGGUCAUGCUGAGGACUCUAGAGAGACUGCCGUCGUAAGAUGUGAGGAAGGUGGGGAUGACGUCAAAUCAGCACGGCCCUUACGUCCGGGGCUACACACGUGUUACAAUGGGGGGUACAGAAGGCAGCUACCUGGUGACAGGAUGCUAAUCCCAAAAGCCUCUCUCAGUUCGGAUCGAAGUCUGCAACCCGACUUCGUGAAGCUGGAUUCGCUAGUAAUCGCGCAUCAGCCAUGGCGCGGUGAAUACGUUCCCGGGCCUUGUACACACCGCCCGUCAAGCCAUGAAAGCCGGGGGUACCUGAAGUACGUAACCGCAAGGAGCGUCCUAGGGUAAAACUGGUAAUUGGGGCUAAGUCGUAACAAGGUAGCCGUACCGGAAGGUG